UAAUGUGCUCUCAUUAUUCUAUAUGCAUCCCUCUCAAAGGCCUGUAUUCAGUCAAAGAUGACAGACUUUCCUGAUAGUUGAAGACUUUUCUUUGAUCAAGGGCAUGUAAGUAGCUGUACUCCCCUGUUAGAAUUUUCAAAAAAGCUUUCCCAGUACAUACAAACUUAUCACAGUUGCUCAAAAUGCUGAGACUAAGUGGUAGAUGCGAACCCAAUGUCUUUUAUA
rfam:Mesocricetus auratus contig083654, whole genome shotgun sequence.